UACGAAGGGGGGCUAGCGUUGUUCGGAUUUACUGGGCGUAAAGCGCACGUAGGCGGAUUGUUAAGUCAGGGGUGAAAUCCUGGAGCUCAACUCCAGAACUGCCUCUGAUACUGGCAAUCUCGAGUCCGGAAGAGGUGAGUGGAACUCCUAGUGUAGAGGUGGAAUUCGUAGAUAUUAGGAAGAACACCAGUGGCGAAGGCGGCUCACUGGUCCGGGUACUGACGCUGAGGUGCGAAAGCGUGGGGAGCAAACAGG
rnacentral:rRNA from 1 species